AUAUCAGUCAUGCAUAGCAUAUCAAUAAGCGGAGGAAAAGAAACUAACAAGGAUUCCCUUAGUAACGGCGAGUGAAGCGGGAAGAGCUCAAAUUUGAAAUCUUCAAGGUUUUACCUUGACGAAUUGUAGUUUAAAGAAGUGUUUUCUGUUGAAGUUUUGGUAAAAGUUCUUUGGAAUAGGACAUCAUAGAGGGUGAGAAUCCCGUAUUUGACCAUUACUUUCAGCUUUGUGAUACACUUUCAAAGAGUCGGAUUGUUUGGGAAUGCAGUCCAAAAUGGGUGGUAAAUUUCAUCUAAAGCUAAAUAUUGGCGAGAGACCGAUAGCGAACAAGUACCGUGAGGGAAAGAUGAAAAGAACUUUGAAAAGAGAGUUAAACAGUACGUGAAAUUGUCAAAAGGGAAGCGUUUGACACCAGCGUUGUUUUCUCGAAAAUCAAUUAAAAAGAGUUGGAUUUUGUGUUGUAUUGACUUUAUCGGCUUUCUUCACUCUUUUCCAGCUUUUUUUAAUGCACUUUUCGUUUAACAAGUCAACAUCAGUUUCUUUUGUUGUAAAAAGGUCAUUGGAAGGUGGCUUUCUCUUCGGAGAAAGUGUUUAUAGCCUUUGACUCAUGCAAUCGGAGAGACUGAGGUCUGCAGCGUAGAUCCUUCGGGGUUAGAUACAUUUGUGCUAAGUUAUAGCUUUUCAUAGACAACUUGUUGACUAUGUUUAGUCUUGUAGCUUACUCGCUUAUGCUAUUUUACCUACGCUUAGGAUGUUGAACUCUAUCACACACAG
rnacentral:rRNA from 1 species